GAUGAACGCUGGCGGCGUGCCUAAUACAUGCAAGUCGAGCGAACGGACGAGAAUCUUGCUUCUCUGAUGUUAGCGGCGGACGGGUGAGUAACACGUGGAUAACCUACCUAUAAGACUGGGAUAACUUCGGGAAACCGUAGCUAAUACCGGAUAAUAUUUUGAACCGCAUGGUUCAAAAGUGAAAGACGGUCUUGCUGUCACUUAUAGAUGGAUCCGCGCUGCAUUAGCUAGUAGGUAAGGUAACGGCUUACCAAGGCAACGAUGCAUAGCCGACCUGAGAGGGUGAUCGGCCACACUGGAACUGAGACACGGUCCAGACUCCUACGGGAGGCAGCAGUAGGGAAUCUUCCGCAAUGGGCGAAAGCCUGACGGAGCAACGCCGCGUGAGUGAUGAAGGUCUUCGGAUCGUAAAACUCUGUUAUUAGGGAAGAACAUAUGUGUAAGUAACUGUGCACAUCUUGACGGUACCUAAUCAGAAAGCCACGGCUAACUACGUG
rnacentral:rRNA from 1 species